AGAUAAGCGGAUGAAAAUGGAUGGAUGGACAUCAGGUGGUGGAGAUGUGGCAUUUAAAUGGAGCAAACGGCAAACAGAAUUCAUAAAACCCUGGGCGGAGAACGACCACCUCCUCAUGGGGGGUGAAACAUUCCUCCGCGGCUGGAUGGAAGUGAGGCAAAAAGUGGGACAACCUUUUUAAAAAAAAAAAUGACGUGGAAACUAAAUUUUAUGUCUUUUAUCCAUGCACGUUAAUGAAUCAUUAAUUUUGAAAAUUGCUGACAUGAUUGAUUUCCACUGCCUUGGGAUUGAAAAUAUCCAGCAACUGGAGAUGGAGUCAGUGGGAGGCCCAGCGCUGCUACUUGGCCCUGGUUUGUCCUCCUGGAUGAGGGCUCAGGACAGAAGCCUUCCAUCCUUAUUUAAUUUGAGUAUUUUAAAUUGUUCAUAUGAAUUCAUUUUUCACAAAUUAAAAUAUACUUGUUACACUGUC